GGAGAGAUGCCCGAGCUGUCUAAGGCGCUGAUUUAAGGCACCAGCCUUUUCGGGGGCGUGAGUUCGAAUCCCACUCUCUUCU
ensembl:tRNA